rnacentral:rRNA from 1 species
UACGAAGGGGGCUAGCGUUGUUCGGAAUUACUGGGCGUAAAGCGUGCGCAGGCGGCUUCUCAAGUCAGGGGUGAAAGCCCAGAGCUCAACUUUGGAAUUGCCUUUGAGACUGAGUGGCUUGAGUACGAGAGAGGUGAGUGGAAUUCCCAGUGUAGAGGUGAAAUUCGUAGAUAUUGGGAAGAACACCGGUGGCGAAGGCGGCUCACUGGCUCGUAACUGACGCUCAUGCACGACAGCGUGGGGAUCAAACAGG